rfam:Salmo salar isolate Sally breed double haploid chromosome ssa19, whole genome shotgun sequence.
UGCACACAUGACUGUAAGUCGCUUUGGAUAAAAGCGCCUGUUAAAUGGCAUAAA